CCUCACUACUGCCCUCCCCAAGUCACUGACCGCAGUGGGAGGCCCCACAGAGAGCUGGUCAACAGCAGGGUCAAGGUCCAGGCAGGGGGAGCUCAGAGGCAUCGGGCAGCUGAGCUGUGCCCCACACAGCACCAUGAAGCUGGGGCUGCUCUGUGCCCUCGCCAUGGCCCUCCUGGCCAUGGCCAUGGCUGACCUCAAAGACUCCAAGAAGGGAAAAAUGCUCACAUGGAACAGAGAGGCAGGGACGCGCGGCGGGGGCCGGCGCCGACCACACCAGCUGUGCUCAGGGUGUUUCUCUGUGCUGAGUGAGGAGCGCACCAGGAGGGAAACUGAGAAACCUGCACAGCAACGCCGCAGUCACAGAGCCCAGGCAGGACAGGAAAGGAGGAGCAGCGGUGGCCAAGCACAGCCCUGCGCCAUGAUGGAGCUGGGGGUCCCACCACCCCCUGACUGCACAGCAGCCCUGAGGGGAGCCAGGGGGUCCUGCUGUGCCUCCAGCAUGAUGGGGCUGCCCAGCCGCCCCAGAGUGCUCCUGGGGGGCAGCACCCCCACCUGCCACACGAAGCUGCCAAAUAAAGCCACCAAACCAGCCUGA
rnacentral:lncRNA from 1 species